CCACAGUCUGCCUCUUUAACACUGGAGUCUGUCUCUAUCUCUCUGCUGCUCCUGGAGGCAGCUCUUAACAGCCACCUCCAGGAUGAUGAGGCUCAGAGACAACCAGCCUCGUUGCUGAGCACUGGGAGGUUUUUUUCGGCAACCAAGCAGCUUGUUUAAACCACCACAGAGCAGGGGCAGAGCCGGCAAGGAGCUGAGGUAAUCAUUUCUGCGUUAACUAUCUGGCAAAGAUGUGGGCUGCAGACAGGGACAGGGGAUAUGGAGGGAGGGAGGGAGGAGCUGCAGAAAAUGACAGUGAAAAAUGAACAGUCUCUUAAAAGAAAUCUGGGGUUCCUUGGAAAGGUAUGGCACUGCAGGAAGACUGAAGGCAGAGAAGGGAGUACAGGAAGGCUGCACAUCCACAUUCUGCACAUUUUGUUCUAAUGUACUUUUUUGCCUUUAUCUUUUUUGUUGUUGUUUUCCAGGCCAGCUGCAAAAGUUUUGCAGAGGACUCCCACUUCCAAAGCAAACCAAAAAGAUGUGAUUUAAUACCAAGAUGAAGAGCUGUAGUAGUUUUGGGGCUG
rnacentral:lncRNA from 12 species